rnacentral:rRNA from 1 species
AAUAUUGCGCAAUGGAGGGAACUCUGACGCAGCGACGCCGCGUGAGCGAUGAAGGUCUNCGGAUCNUNAAGCUCUGUCCUUGGGGNAGAAGGUCUUCGGACUUGACGGUAGCUAAGGAGGAAGCCGCGGCUAACUACGUGCUUGCAGCCGAGGGAAUACGUAGGGGGCAAUCGUUGUCCGGAAUUAUUGGGUGUAAAGGGUGCGUAGGCGGCCUUUUAAGUCAGAGUUGAAAGCCCACGGCUUAACCGUGGGACUGCAUUUGAAACUGGAGGGCUUGAGUAUCGGAGAGGGUAGUGGAAUUCCCAGUGUAGCGGUGGAAUGCGUAGAUAUUGGGAGGAACACCAGUGGCGAAGGCGACUACCUGGACGAAAACUGACGCUGAGGCACGAAAGCUAGGGGAGCAAAC